CAGUAGCCUGCACAUUGGUUAG
rnacentral:miRNA from 1 species